CCUACGGGAGGCAGCAGUGGGGAAUAUUGGGCAAUGGGCGAAAGCCUGACCCAGCAACGCCGCGUGAGGGAAGAAGGUCUUCGGAUUGUAAACCUCUGUCCUCAGGGACGAAAAAAAUGACGGUACCUGAGGAGGAAGCCCCGGCUAACUACGUGCCAGCAGCCGCGGUAAU
rnacentral:rRNA from 1 species